rnacentral:rRNA from 1 species
GACUCUCGGCAACGGAUAUCUCGGCUCUCGCAUCGAUGAAGAACGUAGCGAAAUGCGAUACUUGGUGUGAAUUGCAGAAUCCCGUGAACCAUCGAGUCUUUGAACGCAAGUUGCGCCCCACGCCAUUAGGCCGAGGGCACGUCUGCCUGGGUGUCA